UUGACUUUACCCCCCCGUCUCCCUCAGCAUUUGGAGCAAUUUGACUGCACAACAGGUUCCCUAAGGAGAAGCAUACAGGAUAGGAAAAAUGGUUCUACACAGGGUGCAUUGAUGGCUUGCUAGAAGGAAAACUAAGUGAAGGGUGCAAGAGGAAGGAAAGGCAAAGGGGAGGGAGCGAUGUCAGGCUGGGGUAUGAGGGAGAAAGAGAAGGAAAAGAAAGAUUUGAGGACGAGACGGCAUGUGUGUGAGGUGAGGAGGAGGGGAAAGUGCGGAUUGAAGGAUUGAGAUGUGGGCCGGAGCGAGCUUGACAAAAGUGUGGAGAAACAGUUUUCACAGCAAGGAAGGAUGUGAGCUUUACGGAGGCGUGAUGAGACACGAGUUCCAACCUGAAAGCUGUCGACCGGCGUUUGGGUCUGUCACAAGUGAUUUCACUUCAAUGGGAUAUCCUCUACCUCGCCCUCUCACUCCCUCUCCUGUCUGUCCUUCCUAUCUCCCAUCACUCCGCUGCUAUGGCCCUUGCCAGGUUGACACAAGGACCCUCAUAUCUCCAUUCAUCCGCCUGCUCAGCCCCGCUAUCAGUUCUGUCCAAGCCAGCCUCGCAUCAGAGAGAAGCAGGAGUAAGACCCCUCACUGUUGAACACUCCACAAGGUAACUGGGCUCCUUCUCCCCUCCUGCUGCUUCUCAAGAGAGACUUCGCUUUUCAACCUGCUGGGGAGAUGCUGCCAUAUGCACGGAAGAAUAAACGAAGACCCAAACUGACAGCACCAUCUGCCAAACACAGUUGCCGUCAAGAGAAUGGCCCCCGCUCAACAUUUUGCCCACCUCUCAGGAGGAUGCCACAUUGUCAUCAGUGCUAAUACUAAAUAUUAAUAAUUUGUUGACCCCAAAGUGUUUAGAAAUCACUGAUGCAGACACAUAUUGCCCUUCUGAAUGGCAUAUGCUGAUGUCAGCAGGUGAGCACCGCUGGACCGCACUGCUCAGUGUACAUGGAUCUGUGCGUGUGCGUGCGGUCGUGCAUGUGUGUGUGUGUGAGUUUUCCAGAACACAGCAACGAGACAACUUCCAUGAGGACUUACAUGAAUAUUACAUCGUUCCACAUACCCACAUAGAGUAGCCCCGCAUCUAUAACCCUACUAUCUAUAAACUCUCAUACAAACAAACACACACACACACACUGCUAAUCUUCCAGUGAGACAUUAAAGCUAAUUAAGUAAUUCCCACUGUUAGGGAACCAUCUUCUCAAGAAAAACAACUGAGAAGCAACAAAUCAAAAAGUCUUUCACAAAUAUGUAUUCAAGUUCACAAAAAAAAAACAUGUAAUUCAGCAAUUAGUUGUAGAACUAUUAUUAUUCAGUGGUGGGCGGUGCAUUUCGCACCUUGGCCUUAAUACCACAUCUAUUACAUCACAAUUUUACAAAAUUACAUAUGAAAUCACGAUAUAACAAUGUGUGGCAUUACACAGAGAGGCAUUCUUAUUAGUGAAGCAAGAAACAUAGCUGAACCUUUAUUUUCCACCAAACAACUCCCAACGGCUACGCUACAAUAUCAUUUAGAGCCGGUCACAAUCAAUGUUUAUCUAAUAAUGUGACAAAAAAAAUAUUGAAAUAAAAUACAUCAUACUCAACAGAUGCUGAUUAUUUAAAGAUAAAAUCCACCUCCUUUCUUUGCCCUACCUGUAAGCUAGCUGUCGCGCUCAUAUGUGAUACGCGGGACGUGCCAAAUAAAUCAGGUCAGCCAGGAAGUCUGUUGGCUCUAUCCUCACAAUGUCCAGUUUUUCUUUGAAAAAUAAUUUUUAAUAAUGUCCGACAUUUGUUCUCCUGCAUCCCUCAUUGCGCACAUCGCAAGACUAUUUAGCUCACCCAAUCAGAGGGUGAAAAAAUGCUGACAUCACUCAUAGCCUUCGGGAAGGCGAAGAGUGGUGAAUUUGAAAUCUGAUUGGUUAAAAAAGGAAACAGCCAUUGCUAAUAGUGAGCCAGAACUCCUGAUUCUGAAGGCUCUGGGCAGAAUACACACUGACAUGGCAACAUAGAGAAGCUGAAAUCUGA